rnacentral:miRNA from 1 species
UGCGACUUCCGUCGAUGUUGUCCUGA